rnacentral:rRNA from 1 species
GACGAACGCUGGCGGCGUGCUUAACACAUGCAAGUCGAACGGAAAGGCCCUGCUUGCAGGGUGCUCGAGUGGCGAACGGGUGAGUAACACGUGGGUGAUCUGCCCCUUACUUUGGGGUAAGCCUGGGAAACUGGGUCUAAUACUGGAUAGGACCAUGCUGUAGGUGGUGUGGUGGAAAGAUUAGUUUCGGUAAGGGAUGAGCUCGCGGCCUAUCAGCUUGUUGGUGGGGUAAUGGCCUACCAAGGCGUCGACGGGUAGCCGGCCUGAGAGGGUGGACGGCCACAUUGGGACUGAGAUACGGCCCAGACUCCUACGAGAGGCAGCAGUGGGGAAUAUUGCACAAUGGGCGCAAGCCUGAUGCAGCGACGCCGCGUGGGGGAUGACGGCCUUCGGGUUGUAAACUCCUUUCAGCCAUGACGAAGCCCUUGUGGUGACGGUAGUGGUAGAAGAAGCACCGGCUAACUACGUG